rnacentral:rRNA from 1 species
UACGUAGGGGGCAAGCGUUAUCCGGAUUUACUGGGUGUAAAGGGAGCGUAGACGGUCCUGCAAGCCAGAUGUGAAAGCCCGGGGCUCAACCCCGGGACUGCAUUUGGAACUGUAAGGCUAGAGUGUCGGAGAGGCAGGCGGAAUUCCUAGUGUAGCGGUGAAAUGCGUAGAUAUUAGGAGGAACACCAGUGGCGAAGGCGGCCUGCUGGAUGAUGACUGACGUUGAGGCUCGAAAGCGUGGGGAGCAAACAGG